GAUCCGGUAGUGUAGCUUGGUAACAUGCGUGCUUGGGGUGCACGUGAUCGUGGGUUCGAAUCCCUCCCGGAUCA
rnacentral:tRNA from 1 species